GUGUUCGCUUCGGCAACACAUAUACUAAAAUUGGAACAAUAUAGAGAAGGUUAGCAUGGCCCCUGCGCAAGGAUGACACGCAAAUUCGUGAAGCAUUCCAUAUUUUU
ensembl:snRNA U6 U6 spliceosomal RNA